rnacentral:misc_RNA from 1 species
AACACUGUUAACCUGCGGUACCUGCGGAAGGAUCAUUACCGAGUGCGGGCCCUCUGGGUCCAACCUCCCACCCGUGUUUAUUGUACCUUGUUGCUUCGGCGGGCCCGCCAUUCUGGCCGCAAAGGGGCACCUGCCCCUACGCCCGCGCCCGCCGAAGACAUCUCGAACUCUGUCUGAAGAUUAAAGUCUGAGUGGAAUUACAAAUUAGUUAAAACUUUCAGCAACGGAUCUCAGAUCGGA